UAUCGGCAUCAAGAAUGCUCAAACGAAAAAGAGGGCCAGUUUCAUCACCAUUGUGCAGUGUUGAAAUGGUAAAAAAAGAAAGGAACUUUUAUGAUCAGCAUAAUAUUGAGUUUCAAUAUUUUUGCACGGAGCAAUGGAUAAUCCGUGUGAAAAUGGGUCAUACUCCAUGCAAUGAUUAGUACCAAAUCCUGUAAUUUUAACCAUCUUAGGGUCAAUUGACUUGCCGAAAACCCAAAACUGACUAGACCGCUGCUGAUCUUUGAAAAAGACCAAACUUUCAAAAUUACUUGCAAAGAACAAAUUUGUCCUCCUCUCAAACAUCAUUCCCUCAGGUGAAAUCAUCCAUUGUGAGAUGUCAGGUGUUGCACUGGAUGAUUUCACCCGAGGGAAUGAUGUUGUAGAGAGGACAAAUGUUCUUGACUGCACCUAAUUUUGUGAGUUUGGUCUUGUUCAAAGAUCAGUAGCUAUCUGGCCAGUUUUGGGUUUUCGGCAACUCUAUCGACCCUAUGAUGGUUAAAAUCAUAGGGUUUGGUUGUGAUCAUUGCUUGGAGUUUGACCCGUUUUCACACAGGUUAUACAUGGCUUGAGAGGAAAAAAUGGAAUCAACAAUGGAUUGUUGAAUCUUACUUAUUUGUUGGUUUGAGAGGAAAAAAUGUCUGAGGUCAUGAAUGAUGAAUAAUGAAUAAUUUUAUUGUUUUUAUUGCUGCUGAAAUUUUUGUUAGUAUGUAAAUUCUUGUUUGGUGCACGGCCACACUGGCGAAGAUGCGAUUUUGUUUCUUUCUCCUUGGUUCUACAGAUGGCUGGAAUUUGGAUCCGAAACCGGCGACGACAAGGUUGGAGAAAUAUCACUCUCCUUACUCCAUUCGAACGGCAACCAUGAAAAUGGCUGCAAAUCCAGCGAGGUCCCUGAAGCCGAUGCAUGUGUGUGCUUUGCCAAGGAAAUGGUCAAUCCGAUGGAUCUGCAAACAGAAAAAUGAGGAAUCCUCUCGGAAAUGACAGAUUCCGUCUGAUGUAAAGAUAAAUGAAAACAGCAACAUAUCAGAAGAAAGGAGGAACAAAGUGAAGAAACAAACCAUUAGAUUCUGGAAAUUCAACACUACUCCUUGGUUCUUAUUGUAGAUAGGGUUGUAAAUAGAUUUCCCCAUGUAUACAAGUAGUAAUGCUAAUCAUAUAUAUUUAAAACUUUCUACAUGUUUUAUACAGUUUCAAAA